rnacentral:rRNA from 1 species
UAGAGUUUGAUCAUGGCUCAGAUUGACCGUUGGCGGCAUGCGUAACACAUGCAAGUCGAACGGUGUUUGGCGCUUGCACCAGACAUAGUGGCGGACGGGUGAGUAAUGCGUAGGAAUCUGUCUUAGAGAGGGGGACAACCCGAGGAAACUUGGGCUAAAACCGCAUAUUCUCGAGAGAGGAAAGCAGGGGACCGGAAACGGCCUUGUGCUCUAAGGUGAGCCUACGUCGGAUUAGCUAGUUGGUAGGGUAAAAGCCUACCAAGGCGAUGAUCUGUAGCUGGUCUGAGAGGACGGACAGCCACACUGGGACUGAGACACGGCCCAGACUCCUACGGGAGGCAGCAGUGGGGAAUAUUGGACAAUGGGGGGAACCCUGAUCCAGCGAUGCCGCGUGUGUGAAGAAGGCCUGCGGGUUGUAAAGCACUUUCAGUGGGAAAGAGAAGCGUCUCGUGAAUAAUGGGACGUGGAGACGUUACUCACAGAAGAAGCACCGGCUAACUCUGUGCCAGCAGCCGC